UUCUUGAGACUCUAACUUGUAAGCCAUGCAGCUUCUGGUUUGCCUUCUGUUAGUGGAGGCAUAGUGCAAUUGUGGUAGCAUCCAUCCAAAACGAACUCAUGCCAGUGGUGCCUGUAGGAAGUAACCAAGAUGAGGAACUCAGUGCAGUGAUGGACAGCUAUAAAUCAACAUCAGAACCAAGACAGGGUAUUUGCAAGAUAAGGAAACCGAGGCUCAGCAAGGUAGAAUUACUUAUUCAGUGCAACAUAGUUGGUACCACUCCAGAUCUGAACCCAUGUUUUCUGGAUCCAAGUCUAAUGCUGUUCAGCCACUAUCUCUAAGUAGGUCGCUGGGAAAGAAUGCUGAUUAAGAAUGGGAAACAGAAGUAGUGCUGAGAAGAAAAGAUGGACAGGUAGCAAAGCGCGAGGCUUUGAAACUGAGGAGGAGGAAGUUCAAGAUCACCACAAAAAAGAGAAAAUUGUUCUAAUCUUAGAAGAAUUAAAGGGUGGGAUUUUUUAAAAUCUAAAAGUGGAGAAAACAUCUUUUUUCAAACCCUGAGAACAAAGGUAGCAUUCACAAGAGCCUAUCGAACACAACAGCAAAUGAUGCUUGAUGAUAUUGUGAUAAGUAAAAGCCAUACUAAUUAGUAUGUUUGCAAAACAAACCAUCCCUAUGCUUUCAUAUCAUCUACCCCACAGCUGCAAACUUUCUUCACUGUUUGUGUUACAGGGAAAUAAAGAAACU